rnacentral:rRNA from 1 species
AACGAACGCUGGCGGCAGGCUUAACACAUGCAAGUCGAGCGCCCCGCAAGGGGAGCGGCAGCCGGGUGAGUAACGCGUGGGAACGUACCUUUUGGUUCGGAACAACUCCGGGAAACUGGAGCUAAUACCGGAUAAGCCCUAACGGGGAAAGAUUUAUCGCCGAAAGAUCGGCCCGCGUCUGAUUAGCUAGUUGGUGAGGUAACGGCUCACCAAGGCGACGAUCAGUAGCUGGUCUGAGAGGAUGAUCAGCCACACUGGGACUGAGACACGGCCCAGACUCCUACGGGAGGCAGCAGUGGGGAAUAUUGGACAAUGGGCGCAAGCCUGAUCCAGCCAUGCCGCGUGAGUGAUGAAGGCCUUAGGGUUGUAAAGCUCUUUUGUCCGGGAAGAUAAUGACUGUACCGGAAGAAUAAGCCCCGGCUAACUUCG